UUUUAUCUUCUCCUAGCGUUGUGACACUAAUAUUAAGUGACUUUAUAGACCGGCGAAGAACAUUUGGACGUUGCACAGCGAAGAAAAAUCAGUUCUCUAAUUGAGAAAGUGAGAAUUCAUAAUGGUCUCAUCCUCAUUCUUCAGUUUCCAUUGCAACGAUCAUUUAUCGGUUGUGUUGUUUCCUAAUAUACAGACGAGAAUCGAAAAGUGGCAUGAAGUUCUGGACAUUGGGUGUGGUUGGGGAAUCUUAGCUAUUGAAGUUGUCAAAAGAACAGGAUGCAAGUAUACUGGCAUCACUCUAUCAGAGAAGCAACUGAAAUAU
rnacentral:lncRNA from 1 species